UACGUAGGGUGCGAGCGUUGUCCGGAAUUAUUUGGGCGUAAAGAGCUCGUAGGCGGCCUGUUGCGUCCGCUGUGAAAGCCCGGGGCUUAACCCCGGGUCGCAGUGGAUACGGGCAGGCUAGAGGUAGGUAGGGGAGAAUGGAAUUCCCGGUGUAGCGGUGAAAUGCGCAGAUAUCGGGAGGAACACCGGUGGCGAAGGCGGUUCUCUGGGCCUUACCUGACGCUGAGGAGCGAAAGCUGGGGAGCGAACAGG
rnacentral:rRNA from 1 species